CACCGCUGCUCCCUCGAGACAUGUGCCGGGUCGAGACAUCGUCGUCGAUUGGGAACCACACGCCGCAGCUCCUCCGAUGCGCCCUCUUCUUCGCGCGCGACUGCGGACGCAUCUGAGCCUCCGCCUCCGGCUCGUAUUCUCCGUGUUCUGGAGAUGGGCGAUCUGCUUUUCCGUCCUCAUCUCCACUCCUUCUCUUCCUAGCCGCCAUGGGUUCUUGGAGGUGGUGAGGAAAUGGCUGCAGCGAAGCAGCAGUGUCGUGCGCGGCUCUGAUGGCCAACACAGCCGACGCCGCUACCGUGUCACCGUCUUCAUCAUCAAGAAUAAGUCCACCUGCAGAAGGCCUAGAUUUGUUGAGGCAGAGCUACAGAUGCAAAUAAUGGUGGUGCUACGAUGAGGAUCUGAGGUUCCCCUCUCUCAGGUCAAAUCCACAUUUUUGUAUUGAACCUGGUCUGAAUUACUCAAAAUUAGUGUGUGCAAAAGAAAUACCAAUGAUAAUUAGUUUUACACUGAAAAACAAGACGCCAAUAUAUGAACUUUUCAGUCUUUUAUAUUUGCAGAUUAGUGGCUUAUAAAAGAAACAAACUCCACUAACAUGUGUGUUUCCUAGGAAGGAAUAGUACGGCGGUGGCUCGCUGGAGCGACAAGAUUGCCAUGGCUGCUCCUCCGUAUAAAGGUUUCAGUUCAUCAUGCUUGCUUGAUAUCUUUCAUGCCAAUCCAUGUCUUUCAUUAGAAGAGAUGAACGGCAGCAAGGGACAACAUCAGUAGGUUGGCUUGGUUUGAGAUUAAUAGUGCCGAGGGAGAUGUAAUUUGGUACAUGAUGCAUGUGUCUACUAUCUUGAAUAUCAGUGAGAAUUGCAUGCCCACAAGGUUUUCUUAUUCGAUAAUGUGAUUUGGUGUUUGAUGCUUGGUCACAACUAAUGUUUUCAUGGUCUACUGGCUAGAUGGGUUUACUCCCUUUCUGGGAAGUGAGAAAUGUGGUAUCAAUAUUUAGCUGAACCCGCAUAUUGUCUCUGCUACAGUUUCUGUAUUGGUUAUCCUUCAUUAAGGUAUUUUGACUCAAUAGAAGCAG